GAACCAGACGAACUAGGCUACAUUAUUAUUGAGGUUUUCUUAGAUACUGUGCUUUUUUCCAAGCAGCGAAACAAUAUUCGCAGGCAUAUUAGUCGAAGCAGAUUUUGCGGUGUUCUCGGAUCUAACACGUUUCCCGAGCAAAGUUAGAGAUCAAAUUGAAAUCAGAAUUUGCUGUUAUGAUGUAACUUAAUUUGAAUACUCCAUUUGAUCUCAUUUUGGUUGACUUAACGGUUAGCACAGCAAAAAUGAGAGCAAAAUUUUACACUGUUGAAUCAAACGGAAAACUAAUUCUGCUUUCAAUGAAAUCAAUUUGAUUACUGAUUUUGCAUUCAUAAUGUUUGACUGAAUACGGGCCUGUCGUAAAUGGUUAGCAUCCAUGCUGCUCACGCUGAAAGAUUUGAGCUCAAAUGUCACCUCGGGCUAGUCACGAAUGACCUAAAAUGUGUUAAACAAAACAAAUAAACAAUAAUCGUUAGUUCAAGGACAGAUGAACUAAAAUCAAGUUUUAAACAAGAAAUUAACAGCAGAACUUCAAGUUAAGUUGCUUUGAGUUAAAAAGUCUUGACUGCAUAAUGAUAGCACAAUAUGAUAUCAGACUUCUGUCGCGACAAUUGAAAUCAAAAUGAGUUUUCAUUAUGAUAGGAACUGCAAACUUUAAUAUCGAUUUGCUUUCAUUUUGUUAACCGACUUUGCUCGGGUUGUGAUACCAUUCGGGUCAUCCGGAAAGGCAUUUCAAUGAAAUUCUUUAUCAUGUUGUAUUGUUAUUUUUUGAUAACUCACCAGAGUAAUUUAUUCCAUUUAAUUUUUGAUAUAAUGAACACAUCACCCAAGCAACAGUUUAGGUUUUACAAAUGCGUCGUAGACAAAUGCUGUAAAACCUUGAUAAAACUUGUAAUGUUACUUGGGCGCUUUUGUAACGUUUAUAGUAUUGAAGACUCACUUUUCUAUAAUUCAUGAAUCGUGCGGAAUUUUUAACUGAUGGAUGCAUUAAUUUAGACAUGUGGACAACUUCGCUAGUGAUCUUGACUUUCUUUGGAUAGUUUGUGUCCUAGCAAGAUUACGGUGUUAUCUGUUACUAGGAGCAACAGAAAUCUACUCAAAAUCUGGAGUUAGAAUGAAUCGAUUUAUUGCGAAACAAUGUUUCAAUUACAACAAAAAAGAUAGACGUCUGGAGUGACAAAUUAAUGUAGCAUACAAAUUAAAAUUGCACCAACUCGAACGUUCUCAUUCUGCAAGUAUAUCGACUCGGAGCGUCCCGGUCUUGAAAUUUUUGGACACUCCGAGUCAAUCGCUUACAUCGAUGAUAAAGGAUCAAAUUACACGAUCGUUCUCAUCGAAUCCAGUUAAUUAUGCUGACGAACAAUAUCGUUAAAGUAGAUGUUUGCCUAUGAGGAGGUCUGAAUUGAGUUGAUUUUAAAUUUGGUUGGACCAAAUGAUGAUCUUGAUCAUCACAAGAUCCUGGAAAAACGAGUUAUUUUCGGAUUUUUGUAAGGAAUGUGCAGAUGGUUAUUAUUUAGUUAUCACUUUAUUUUAUCUGGAUUACUGAGCAUUGAUUCCAACGACGUGGCAUCCAUGCCGUGAGGCAGAACCUAGCAAGGUGUUUCACCUCGACUGCGAUUAUUGCUUGUUACUCUCGAAAUGCGAAUUGUCAAUCUGAACAUUUUGAUUGAUCCAACCAGCAUUAUGUUACUUUCGUAUUCAAAGCACUUCAACGGAGGAGGGUUGUGAUGCGUGACACGUUUCAUGAAUCGUAAUGCUUAGUAAUCAAUUUGGCAAGGUUUCCAUUGGGAAAGAGCACUUUACCUCCCGCAGCCGUUUAUUCUUGUUUAUUGUUGUUUUACAUCAACAGACUGAAUGAAGCCCCAUUGAUGUUAACCUUAUCAACUAUAGUAAAACAAUGCAUUCAAGCAUGGUCAUAACAUAAAAAAAAACAUUAAAAGAACAUAUAUAUUAUAGUCAGUUACUCCUGCCGACGAAACCCCAAACCGCACCGGAAGCUCCAUCAUUUGUGCGACGUAGAAUCAGUCUUAGCCUAAGGUUAUUACGAAGCGGUCGGGGUUGAACAUUCAGGUCAAUUUGCCUCAGGAUAGCCUCGCAAUAUGUCCUUCCUAAAGGUAUAUCGGCCACGGUUAGGGCUCUGCUUGUGUCUCUUCUAGUCCGGAGAAGUUCUAGGUCGGACCAAGGCAAUCUACGCAACGUAAAAUGAAGAAAGCGGCGUUGAACAGAUUCAAUUCUCUCGGCACUGUUGUUGUAGUUUGAGUUCCAAACCGCUGGUAUUGUAUUGAUCAAGCGUCGAUCGAACAAGUGAACAAUAGAGAUAUUAUAGACAGUAGAUAUCGGUGAAGUUUUUAGCUAUCCUAAACAUGAACCCUAAAGUUCUUGACGCCUUAUCGACAACAUAUGCAAUGUGUUGCUUGAAUGAAUGCUGCGAAUCCAUUGCCGAGCCAAGCAGGUCAUAGCUAAAUAUUAUCGGUUGUUGUUUUCGUGAGAACGUAAUAGCGGAGCAUUUGGCCUGGUUCACUACCAUUCUGUUUAAACUGCACCAACUAGCGAAUACAUUCAGCUAACGUUGAAGAAAGUGACAGUCAGCAAUGGAGUGGAUUCGUAGGAAGAUUUUGAGGUCAUCUGCAUAUGAUAACCGAGGAGCUUCGAUGACCAGAUGCACGUCGUUGAAGUAUACUAUAAAAAUCAACGGUCCGAUUAUAAAAAUCAACGGUGGCGAAGAAGCUAACUGAUCUGCAAUAUCCUAUGGCAACCUUUAGUUGGCAACCGAACCAACUCAGAAGAUUACCGAGCCUGCCGAGUUUAGCAAUCGCAAUAGCAUGGUAUAACUUGUCGAAUGCUGCGGAUAGGUCUGAAAAAAAUAACGUCCGUUUGAACCCGAUCCGACAUGCUUUCGGUUAUAUACGAUGUGAGACACAGCAGAUUGGCGGUUGUAGAGCGGCCGACAGUAAACCUAUGUUGAUCAGCACUCAAAUACUGCUUACAAUGGGACAGCAACGGUUCCAUAAUCACUAGCUCGAAUCGCUUCGAAACGGCACUUAACGAUGUAACAGCUGAACGGGAAACAUGUGCGCAAAUUUCCAGCAGGAUGGAAAUGUGCCACUUGAGAGAGACAUGCGGAACAGGCGAUGAAGCGGAAUUAACAAGCUAGCAAUUUGUCUCUUCAAAAAUACAGAUGGAACUCCAUUAGGUCCAGGAUUGCAGGAUGACUUGAGCAGAGUCGCGGCCUUAGAAAUCAUCACAUCAAUUGCACCCAGCGUUUGAUCAUUUACUGGAACGUUCUUGACAGCCAGGUUAUUAUGGUCGUCAGUAUCUGAACGGUGGCAGCAACUUCUCCGUUGAAUUCUAUAGACGAUGGGAGGCCGGAUUCCCUGCGUUGCUCGUUCAAGUAGUUCCAAAAGGAUUUCGGGUGUUGCUUAACUUUGCGCUGGAUGCCUCGUUGGAAACUUGAAAAGCAUUCACCACUGAUUCGCUGGUACAUGUGAUUCAACCUCACAUAAUGUAGUUUCAGAGGAAGCGUGCGAUACUUCGUAAAUCUUUUCAAUGCUGUUCUCUUGAUUGGCUUCAACCUGCGUAGCUCUCUCGUCUGGCAGGGAAGGUGAGAUACUUUGUGGUGAGUUCUUUUCGGGGCGUGCCUGCCAAUGACAUAUGCCAAGACAUGUGAAAAGGUUUGCGCUGCAGCCUCAAUGUCAUCUGGAUCAAGGAUGUUCUCCCAUACAUUUAUGAUGCUACGGUGAUCAGCUUUACGGAAGUCAUAUGAAAUCGUCGAAAUCACGCACGAGUUUGUCCUCAACAGUGACAAUUAGAGGAGGGUGAUGUGGAACUAGCUUAGUUAGUGCACAAGGAGCCGAAGAAAUUAAUGGAGCCCUGUCCUGUGUGCUCACGAAGCAGAGGUCCAAACCACAGACAAACAGACGUAACACUUCAUUGUGUAUCUUCGUUCACGCAUUUAAGGCACCGACGAACCGACAUGCCACUGGAGCAUUUCAUUUGUCCGCUAUUCGAUUUGUCAAAUGAGCGGUUCAAUCUAUCAAACGGGCGAUCAGAUCUGUCAAACGAGGUGAGACGCAAACCAAGUCAAUAUAAACUUUACGUGUGUACGUGUCCUUGCUUACGAUAUGACGCGAUCGGAUGAGUAGAUGGCGGUAGUGUUUAACGUAUUUUAAAUAUGGCGUCUUGGGCAAGAAUUUGAAUGUGGCUUCUAUGAGCUGUCACGUCGGUUCGUCGGUGUUUAAGGGUUGAUUUGAAUAUUAUCAGUUCCGCGAACUACUCGCCGCAACGCUGACAUCGGAUCACUUUGACGUUUCUAUACAUUCUAUAGAACUUUUAUGCAACAUUGUUGGCAAGUUAGCGAGCAAGCUUGUUUUCCACGAGAAGCCCGUGAGAUGUCGUUACUGAGGUCCUUUGUUUUGAGAUACUAUGUUUUCAAGAAAAACUUUUUCAAAGAGUUACAUCUGUUUGUCUGUGUCCAAUCUACGACCAUUUUCGUUAACUACAUGGUUAAUUUGAGAAAACGUUGCUGCGCUGUAGUUGUCGGGAAAGCUAAUAGCUCCUGCGUGAAAUGUAGAGCUACCAGGAUCUGGAUACAGGAAUGCGCUAUGAGAUGGACUCCACCAGCUGCCUCCCUGUGUCAGUAGCAUUGGUGCUCAGCACGGAAAACAAUGUACAGAUAAAUGUACAAAACAGUGAUGCCGGUUUAAACUGGAUUCUUCCAGUUUGUUUACCAAUCCAGUCAUCCAGUUUUUUUUUAGAAUUCAUCGAUUUGCCAGCAGGCAUGAAAAAUGCUACGCUCGGCUCAUUUCAAAUUCGUGAGUGAGGCUCCAUCAAGCCUGUCUGGUUGUUACGCCUUGCACCAGAACUACGAAUUAUAUUGUUUUAAUAUACCAAACGUACUGAUUCUGUAGUAUCUAGACACGCCCGAUUCAUUUGAAAUGCAUCCGAUUGAUAUUUCACGUGUAAACAACGAACAAAAAGAAGACCAAAAAAAAAAUGUCCGCGCGUAAUUCCACUCUCACAAAAUUUGCGAACAAAAAACAAAAAAUCCCGAGGGUGUAUUUCCACGGCGUAACACCAGUGUUGGCAGUUCAAAGAAUGGAAGAUCCGGGGGUUAACAAUA